CAGUCGCCACGGUAAUACGUAGGUGGCAAGCGUUGUCCGGAAUUAUUGGGCGUAAAGGGCUCGCAGGUGGUUUCUUAAGUCUGAUGUGAAAGCCCCCGGCUCAACCGGGGAGGGUCAUUGGAAACUGGGAAACUUGAGUGCAGAAGAGGAGAGUGGAAUUCCACGUGUAGCGGUGAAAUGCGUAGAGAUGUGGAGGAACACCAGUGGCGAAGGCGACUCUCUGGUCUGUAACUGACGCUGAGGAGCGAAAGCGUGGGGAGCGAACAGGAUUAGAUACCCCUGUAGUCCCUGUCUCUUAUAC
rnacentral:rRNA from 1 species